rnacentral:pre_miRNA from 1 species
ACAGCAUUCGGGCCGUCGGUUUACCGAGGAAUACCAAUCACCCGGUCGGUGGAAGAUCUUCCCUUUGUCUU